rnacentral:piRNA from 1 species
GCUUUUGACUAGCAUUUCAACCUUCUG